rnacentral:rRNA from 1 species
AUAUCAAUAAGCGGAGGAAAAGAAACCAACGGGGAUUGCCCCAGUAACGGCGAGUGAAGCGGCAACAGCUCAAAUUUGAAAUCUGGCCCUGUUUAGGGGUCCGAGUUGUAAUUUGGAGAGGAUGCUUCGGGCGAGAGCGCGGUUUAAAUCCCUUGGAACAGGGUAUCACAGAGGGUGAGAGUCCCGUCUUUAACCGCGAGUCAAGCCCAUGUGAAGCUCCUUCGACGAGUCGGGUUGUUUGGGAAUGCAGCUCAAAAUGGGUGGUAAAUUUCAUCUAAAGCUAAAUAUUGGCCAGAGACCGAUAGCGCACAAGUAGAGUGAUCGAAAGAUGAAAAGCACUUUGAAAAGAGAGUUAAACAGCAUGUGAAAUUGUUGAAAGGGAAGCGCUUGCAACCAGACUUGUGGGCGGCAGUUCAGCCGUUAUUCUUAACGGUGCACUCUGCCGUUUCCGGGCCAGCAUCGGUUUAGGUAACCGGUUAAAGGCCUGGGGAACGUAUCUGUCCCUCGGGGCAGACUUACAGCCCCAGGUGGCAUCCGGCUCAGCUGGACCGAGGUACGCGCUUCGGCACGGAUGCUGGCGUAAUGGUUGUAAGCGGCCCGUCUUGAAACACGGACCAAGGAGUCUAACAUCUAUGCGAGUGUUUGGGCGUUGAAACCCCAGCGCGGAAUGAAAGUGAACGGAGGUAGGAGCCCUCUGGGCGCACUAUCGACCGAUCCUGAUGUCUUCGGAUGGAUUUGAGUAAGAGCAUAGCUGUUGGGACCCGAAAGAUGGUGAACUAUGCCUGAAUAGGGUGAAGCCAGAGGAAACUCUGGUGGAGGCUCGCAGCGGUUCUGACGUGCAAAUCGAUCGUCAAAUUUAGGCAUAGGGGCGAAAGACUAAUCGAACCAUCUGGUAGCUGGUUCCUGCC